CGUUGAAACACCGGUUUUCAUACGAUCACCGAAAGUUAAACAACGUUGAACCUGGUCAGUACCUAGAUGGGUGACCACCUGGGAAUACCAGCUAUUGUAC